rnacentral:rRNA from 1 species
GAUGAACGCUGGCGGCGUGCCUAAUACAGGCUAGUCGAGCGAAGGGACGAGAAGGUUGCGUCGCUGAUGUUAGCGAGGGACGGGUGAGUAACACGGGGAUAAUGUACCGAUAAGACUGGGAUAACUUCGGGAAACGGGAGCUAAUACCGGAUAAUAUUUUGAACCGAGUGGUGGAAAAGAGAAAGACGGUCUUGCGGUCAGGAAUAGAGGGUUCCGCGCUGCAUUAGCUAGUUGGUAAGGGAACGGCUUACCCAGGCAACGAUGCAUAGCCGACCUGAUAGGGUGAUCGGCCACCCUGGAACUGAGACACCCUCCCGACUCCUACGGGACGCAGCAGUAGGUAAUCUUCCGCAAUUGGCGAAUGCCUGACGGAGCUACGCCGCGUGAGUGAUGAAGCUCUUCGGCUCGUACAACUCUGUUAUUCGGGAAGAACAUAUGUGUCAGUAACUGUGCACAUCUUGACGGUACCUCAUCAGACAGCCACGGCUAACUACGUG